rnacentral:rRNA from 1 species
UACGUAGGUCCCGAGCGUUGUCCGGAUUUAUUGGGCGUAAAGCGUGCGCAGGUGGUUUAAUAAGUCUGAUGUAAAAGGCAGUGGCUCAACCAUUGUGUGCAUUGGAAACUGUUAGACUUGAGUGCAGUAGAGGAGAGUGGAAUUCCAUGUGUAGCGGUGAAAUGCGUAGAUAUAUGGAGGAACACCGGUGGCGAAAGCGGCUCUCUGGACUGUAACUGACACUGAGGCUCGAAAGCGUGGGUAGCAAACAGG